ACGCCGGGGUUUUAUAGCCGGCUGUCCCCAAGGGUGUGUAAUGCCAGAUUAGCCGCCGGCUUUAAGGAGGCUCUGCUGUGGCGAGCCUGGGGGGAUCUGAUCUCUCCAGCUCGAGGUGGUGCAGUGAUUUAGCAACAAAGCACCGAGGAGAGGGGUGAAAGGACACGCAGGAUAUUUGAGCCCUCUGGAGUGCUCAGAUAACCCCCCUCUGUAAGUCAAUCCCAGCAGGAGACUCUUUAAUAAGACUCUUUUUAAGAUAAAAUAUUUCUACAAAGGUGGAAAUAAUGCAAUACCUACAGUCCUUUUCAAAAGAAGCAGAACAAGAGAAUUUCGAUGUGGAAAACUCCUUUUUGAUCAUUCCAGUCCCUUUCUCUUUGCUGCAGCACACAAGAGUGACAGAGCACAGAAUAUAUUUAACAGCUAUAAAGCCAAAACAGCUGUAGGAGAAUAACAGCAGAGCUCAGAAUGGACUCUGGCCCUAAAAAUGUCACCCAAAGCCUUCAGAUUUGCAAAGCUCCCUGUUCACUCUCCAUCAGGGAUGGCCUGCAGUGCUACCACAAAUUGCUCCAAGUCUCUGCAGCUCGGGAUGGACUGAGCUCACUGUGAAAUGACUUUCUGGGAAGCCUCUCCCUUGUUUAUUGCAAUUCCUUGUUUUCUGGAAGAGACUCCGGGAUUGUUCUGGCUAUUGUGAACGUGACCUCAGAUGUCUUAGUUGUUAUUUCUCUGCCUGGGAGGAUUUAGCAGCAUGGUCAAGGGAUCACAAAGAAUGUUCCCAGUUAGUGUGAAAGGUUCAUCUGACGCCUGUGUCAGUCAGUGAAGUUAUUCCUUGAUUCAAAGUGCCCAGAUGGAAAUGGAUAAUAAAAUUCAUGACACAAGAACGUAACUCAGAGAGAAAAAUUGUCCUGUUGAAAUAGUUAAGGUAAAUGUAUGAUGGCUUCACGCCACCAAAAAAAAAUAUCCAUAAAGCUCAAGCAAAUUUGCAAUCAGGAAUCAACCCUGUUUCCCAAAAGGAGCUCAGUUUGGAACUUCUAACGAUGAAUCUCCAGGAUUUGCUGAGCUUCUCCUUGCUGGGACAAAGAAUUUAAACUAUUUCAGGCCUGACUUCAGUCAUUUAUUACCAGGGCGUGCUUGGCAGGGGCCAGCUGAGGGAAUCUUCAUGGGAUGGACUGAGGAGGAACAGCUCCCCGUUCUAGCCACAGCUGGAAUGUUUCACAGCUGCUUUCCCAUUUGGUGAUAUCUCCUUGGACUCUGGAGUCUUUCUGUGCUUCAGGAAGAAUUCUUCACAAUGAUUUGCCCUUGCAGCUUUGCUGACUUGCCUGGUGGAAGGAGCAGGAGAAAUGAGUGCCCUGAUGUUCUCUGAGUGCCUCUGCAGGAGCACUGCUGCUUCUUCCAAGCAUUUUCCCAGGCUGCCGGAGCGAGGCCCUGGUUCUGGGAUCAUUAAUGCCAGAGCUCUGCUCUGCUGAUCUGCCAGAAACACCCACUGGACGUGGAUCAGAAAUCAGCUUGGGAUGGUGUUUCUGGUGAGGUGCUGAGUGCAGAACACAGCAUUCACUCCCACUUUCCCUGCCUAGAAGAGGGCAGACAAUUUCUGCCAGAGUAAAAAUGCUGCAGCAGUAGCUGCAGGAGAUGCCUCAUUAGGACAGAGACUUCUGGUCCAACAUAAACUUAUCAUUACUUUUUAAUACAUUCAAAUAGGCAAGUUUGCUCACUCUGGAUCAGUGCUCUGUGUGAUGUGAUUCUGUGUCAUGACUUUUCUGUGCUGGCACAAGGAGCCCUUAAGCUGGAUUUAUCGUUUUGUUGAAUCAUGACCUCAGGGAUUUGUGAGAGAAAUGAACUUCAGCCAAGUGCUGGAGAUUUUAAGGCAAUUUACAAGUGGAACCUCAGUCACAGUGAGGUUAACAGCAAAUCUCUGUAUUCUUUUUGGGAACAAACCCACCUGAUUGCUGAAAUGUGAACUUUCUGUGGGAACAUAUGGACCAAGUUUGGUGGGGCUUGAGUUUCUGGCCCGAGGCUUCAAGGAGAGGAUAUUCAUUCUCUCAGAAUGAUGGAGAGGCCAUCCCACCCUCACCUGGGAAGGGGGAUGGAGCAGGCUCUCACCGGGAUCCUGAGCAUCCUAAACUUCCCCAGCCCCCUUCUCUGACAAAGCCACUCUGCAGUGUUGCUGCUCCACUGCUGCAGCUGCUGCUCCCACAUUUACCCUGGUUCAAGCCUGAGGCAGGAAACACAAAACAAGCCUUGUUUUGGAAAAGGCUUCUUUAAUCCUCCCGUGUCUCCCACUGGUGUCCUUCCAGCCAGUGACUAAGUAGUCAGAGCUGGAUAAAAGCCACUUCUCCCAUCUCUCCCCCGGAUUCUUCUCCAAGACAUUUGGAAAGGCCUGAGAUCCUUUCUACUGCAGAAUGGAAUAUUUUGGAAGAUGAAAUAUAAUGUGGCUUAUAUAAAACUGCAGGAUGCAGAACACAACCCCAUUCAGAUCCAAUCAAACUUUCCCUGAACAUUGACAUCCCUUGGAAAUUUUCCAUCACCAAAGUUUCAGAAUCACUAAACCAGCUGAGUUACUUUUUAAUGUUACUUUGAUUAAAAUAUUAAAUUUCUUUCAACCAAUAAAUGAUCUUAGCCAGAAAAUAAUUUGCAUUAGUUGAGCAUAUGGGUUGACUCAAAGACAAGUUAAUUACAGAACACAGUGCAGAGAACCUUUGCCUACUUGAAGGAGACUGCUACAAAAGUGAAAAAUAAAGCAGGUGUUAUCUCUUUUUCAAUUAAAUUGCCUGUUACAGGGGAUGUACUUUAUUCAACAUGAAACAGAGUCUAGAUGAAAUGAGGAAGGAAAAGAGAAAAUGAGAUUGAGAAGAAAGAAAACCCAUACUUAAUAAAAUUAAAAGGCUGAAGGAGAGAAUGAGGGGUUUUUCCCUGUAUUUUUCAAAAGGGCCCAGGGGCACUGUGGUAACACUGGGACAUGCAAGAUGGAAGAGAACAGGACUGAACUGUGCUCCACGCUCUGCUGGGUUAAGGGAAUUUCUGCUGCAGUUGCUGCAACUAAGUCAGAGCUGGGCUCUGAUUUAUAUCAAGAAAAGAAAGUUCUUAACUCAAACAAUUCCUACCCAGAUGCCACAGACUGCCCUGUAAUUGUCCUUGGGAGCAGGACAAAGCCAAGGCCACAGCCUGACGGACCAAGCUGAGCCUUGCUUUCAGCCCAGGAUGUCUUCAUGCACAACAUAUAAUUUCAAAAGCUGGCUUUAAACACUGGGAUGAUACAAUUCUGCUCUCUGUGAUUCCUUCCAGGUUAUAUAUGUGGAUAUUAAUUAUGUAAAUAAAUGUAUCAUUCAUGCAAUAA